UGGAAGUACGAAACGAGAACAGGGCAGGACUCCCCUUGGUUAGGAUGGAAGAAGUCCUAAUGGACUUGUAACCAUGUUUAAGACUGUCACUGACUUUGUGGCAUCUAAUGUAUAU
rnacentral:ncRNA from 1 species